AUGGCUGACCAGCCAAAGAAGAGAGAGAUCGUGGACAGCGGCGAUGGAGGUCUCGGUAUGGGCCUUGCCGCGUUCAUUGCAAACGGCGAGGACCUGGGUCCCAUGAUCCGGCACGGGUUUGAUUCCGGCAAACCCGAAGCCCUCACGCAUAGCCUCAGGAGCAUCGUGAAGAAGAAAGAGGUUGAGAUCGAAGAGCUAUGCAGGCUUCACUAUGAGGAUUUCAUCCUCGCCGUCGACGAGCUGCGCGGUGUGAUGGUUGAUGCCGAGGAGCUCAAGAGCAUGUUGUCCGGUGAGAACUCGCACCUGCAGGAGGCGUCAAGCGCCCUGCUGUUGAAGCUUGACAAACUUCUCGAGUUGUAUUCGGUCAAGAAAAACGUAGGAGAGGCCAUGACGAUAUUGAAGAUUUGCGUCGAAGUCAUUACCCUGUGCAUGGCGUGCAACAGUUACAUCGCAGAAGCUAAGUUCCAUCCUGCGCUCAAGACUCUGGAUUUGAUUGAGCAUGGAUACCUGCAAAACAUUCCUGUGAAGAUUAUUAAAAAGGUGAUUGGGAGACAGAUACCACUGAUAAAGCUGCACAUCGAGAAGAAAGCCUGUGGCGAGUUCAAUGAUUGGCUUGUUCAUAUCAGAAGGAUGUCCAAGCAGAUCGGGCAGGUCUCGAUAAGUCACGCCUCUUUGGCUCGCCAAAAAGAGGAGGAAAUGCGUGCGCGGCAGAGAGAGGCUGAAGGGCAUGGCCAUACUGGACCAGAUCAGCACAUGUAUACCUUGGAUGCAGAGAAUACAGAUGAGGAAACAGCACUAGAUUUUGAUCUCACACCUGUUUAUCGAACGCAUCACAUCCAUGUCUGCCUCGGUAUUGGAGAGAAGUUCAGAGAUUAUUACUACAAGAACAGGCAAAUGCAACUCAGCCUGGAUAUGCAAAUUUCCACUUCGCAACCGUUCCUCGAGUCUCAUCAGCCCUUUCUUGCACAGGUAGCUGGGUUUUUUAUUGUUGAACAACGCGUCUUUCGAACUGCAGAGAAAUUGCUGACCGAGAGCCAAGUCGAAGCAACAUGGGAAACAGCCGUUGCGAAGAUGACAUCUCUAUUGGAGAGCCAGUUUUCUCGCAUCGGCACGGCCAGCCACCUCCUCCUCAUAAAAGAUUAUAUCACUCUUAUGGCUGCAGUUCUCAGGAAGUAUGGUUACCAAACCACACCAUUGAUCGAUAUUCUUUCGAGAAGCAGGGACAAGUACCACCAACUGCUUCUUUCUGAGUGCCGGAGGCAGGUAGAUGACAUCCUUGCUAAUGACUCAUAUGAGCAGAUGGUUAUAAAGAAGGAAUACGAGUACAACAUGAAUGUCACAGCAUUUCAUCUGGAGCCAAGUGAGGUGAUCCCGGAGUUUCCAUAUGUGGCGCCAUUCUCCUCUUCUGUUCCAGAAGUUUGUCGCAUUGUCCGGUCCUUCGUUGAGGAUUCUGUGAGCUAUUUGUCUUAUGGUGGUGACAUGAACCUGUAUGAAGUGGUGAAAGCUUACCUAGACAGGCUAUUGAUUGAGGUAUUGAACGACUGUCUUCUCAACAGGAUGUAUGCUCGCUCAUUGGCCAUGUCACAGAUGAUGCAACUAGCAGGAAAUAUCUCUGUUCUGGAGCAUGCUUGUGAUCUGUACCUCUUGCAUUGUGCCCAACAGUGCGGCAUCCCCAAGCGCGUCGCUGAGAGGUCUCGUGCUACUUUGACUGCUCGAGCCGUGCUAAAAGCCUCGCAGAACGCAGCAUAUAAUGCCUUAAUAAACAUGGCCAAUUCCAAGAUUGAUGAUUUUAUGGUGCUCUUGGACGACGUCGACUGGAUAGUGGAAGAAACACCGGACAAUGCCAAUGACUACAUGAACGAGGUUCUUAUUUAUCUUGAAACACUAGUAUCAACAGCUUCGGAGAUUUUACCACUUGAAGCUCUGUACAAGGUUGUCUCUGGUGCAGUGGGACACAUCUCGGACUCGAUAAUGACCACGCUUCUGAGCGACGGCGUGAAAAGGUUAACGAUGAGUGCCGUUUUAGGCCUCGACAUGGACCUGAAGAUGCUGGAGGCAUUUGCUGAUGAGAAAUUCCACAUCACCGGGCUGGCAGACAUGGGGAAGGAAACAACGUUCAGAGAUUGCUUGGUUGAGAUAAGACAGCUCGUCAACCUUCUGUCGAGCAGCCAGCCUGAGAACUUCAUGAAUCCGGUGAUACGGGGGAAGAACUAUGGAUCGCUGGACUACAAGAAGGUUUCCAUCAUUGUCGACAAGUUCAAGGACUCGGCAGACGGGCUGUUUGGAAGCCUUUCCAACCGCAACACCAAGCAGAAUGCUCGCACGAGGUCCUUGGAUGUUUUGAAGAGGAGGCUCAAGGAUUUUGGCCAUUGA
rnacentral:rRNA from 1 species